rnacentral:tRNA from 1 species
GGAGGAGUACCCAAGUCUGGCUGAAGGGAUCGGUUUCGAAAACCGACAGGGGCAUCAAAGCCCGCGGGGGUUCAAAUCCCUCCUCCUCCGCCA